rnacentral:lncRNA from 1 species
AGAAAUCAGAAAUAUAUUUCAUUCCUUUGCACUUAAUAUAAAAAGAGGUAAUGCAUGUUCACCGUUCAUUUUUCUGUCCUUGUUACACUCAUCAAUUUGAGUACUGUUAAUUAACAAGUUCCAUUACUGUUUACUAAUAUCUAUUUUAUAAAGUGCAUUUCACUCACUCUCUUACCUCUGCUUUUUGAUUUCUACACAACCAAAGGAAACCCUCGCAGAAAAAGAGUGAUGAGAAUAUGUCGCAUGUCUGCUAGUGGAGCAUCGACAUCGGUGCAUGGAAAUCAUGGUCGAUCUUCAAUGUGAAGCUGCUUCUUCUACUUUUGGGAACGGUGACAAAGGCUUUGUGUUUCUUUUAUUCAUCUGUGAUGUUAUUUCUUCUGUAGUCACAAUUAGCAACUUUGUCCGUUACUAAUUUGAGGUAAGGUUAGUUUUUAUUUAAAUUUCAUGAUUUUUUUCUAGGGAUUUUGGUGUUGUUUAUUGUAGUUGUGACUCGUCCAAUAUUGGAAUAUUAUUGGAGCUGAAUUAUAAUUCUACUUUUUACUUAGACAAUUAAAUUUUGCAACUUGCAAUUUCUUCUAUUCUUAAAAGAUAGAAGGGAUAAGCAACAUUGUCUACACAUUUAGAUUAGGUCGGCGUGAAAAAUG